UGCCAGCCGCCGCGGUAAUACGGAGGGUGCAAGCGUUGUUCGGAAUUAUUGGGCGUAAAGCGCGUGUAGGCGGUUUCGUAGGUCAGAUGUGAAAUCCCGGGGCUCAACCCCGGAAGUGCAUUUGAAACCCCGGAACUUGAGUAUGGGAGAGGAAAGUGGAAUUCCCAGUGUAGAGGUGAAAUUCGUAGAUAUUGGGAAGAACACCAGUGGCGAAGGCGGCUAACUGGCUCGGUACUGACGCUGAGAUGCGAAAGCGUGGGGAGCAAACAGGAUUAGAUA
rnacentral:rRNA from 1 species